rnacentral:rRNA from 1 species
UACGAAGGGGGCUAGCGUUGCUCGGAAUCACUGGGCGUAAAGCGCACGUAGGCGGGUUCUUAAGUCAGGGGUGAAAUCCUGGAGCUCAACUCCAGAACUGCCUUUGAUACUGGGAAUCUCGAGUCCGGGAGAGGUGAGUGGAACUGUGAGUGUAGAGGUGAAAUUCGUAGAUAUUCGCAAGAACACCAGUGGCGAAGGCGGCUCACUGGCCCGGUACUGACGCUGAGGUGCGAAAGCGUGGGGAGCAAACAGG